CGCUGGUGUAGAACACAGGUCUGGCUUCUCAACUCAGUGUUCUUUCUACACACUACUUUGAAAUGGAGAAUGUCAAAAGUCUUCAUCAGUUGACACUUGGGAUUUGUGUAGCGUGGAUGGCGGGGAUGGCGAUGUGUUCGUGGAAGGAGAAGGAGGAGGAAGAGGAAGGUGGAAGGCAGGGAAGGUGAAUGAGAUCUGUGGAACGGUCUUAUAUCUGGACGGGAUCUUAGGGACCAUCAAAGCCCUUCUUUCAUCAAGAACAAGGUCAAGAUGCAGAGAAGCUGGGUGGCUAGUCCCGCCAUGUGGUGGGCGAGUGUUGGAACGCUGCUGGCAGUCCUGCAGGUCCCCUCCCUCUCACUCCAGGGCUCCCGAAUUCCACAUACCUGUUUGCACCUGCUUGAAAGUUAUUUUGGGGCCUGGGCAGGAAAGGAGGGGCACAGUCCAGCUGGGUCAUGCAAGGAGAGUUUGUAAAGUAUGGGCAGGGCAGGGUGCAGGAGAACCAUAAGGAAGAGGCAGUAUGCCAGGGUAGAUGCCCGUGGGGAGCCAUUUUGACCCCUGGGGUGGAAGGAGUGAGACGAGGGAGUGAGUUACUGGAACCUGGAGAGAGACAGCUCUAGCGAGAGGGAUGCUGAAGACGAGCUAAGAAUUUCAGUGAGGGGCUCAGCCAGCUCACAGUGGCCCACUAGAAUGGAGACUCUGACUGUUACGGACUGAAUUAUAUCCCCCUCCAAAUUCAUGUGUUGAAGCCCUAAGCCCCCAAUGUGACUGUAUUUGGAGAUAGGGUCUACAAGGAAGUAAUCAAGGUUAAAUGAGAUCACGGGAGCACAAAUGAGG
rnacentral:lncRNA from 1 species